GCAGACAUGGUGUAGUGGUAACAUUGCCCCUUCAACUCUGUUUUCGGGCCGUCCAGGGUUCGAGUCCCUGUGUCUGAC